CCUACGGGUGGCAGCAGUGAGGAAUAUUGGUCAAUGGACGCAAGUCUGAACCAGCCAUGCCGCGUGCAGGAAGACGGCUCUAUGAGUUGUAAACUGCUUUUGUACGAGGGUAAACUCAGAUACGCGUAUCUGUCUGCAAGUAUCGUACGAAUAAGGAUCGGCUAACUCCGUGCCAGCAGCCGCGGUAAUACGGAGGAUUCAAGCGUUAUCCGGAUUUAUUGGGUUUAAAGGGUGCGUAGGCGGUCGGAUAAGUUAGAGGUGAAAUCCCGAGGCUCAACUUCGGAAUUGCCUCUGAUACUGGUCGGCUAGAGAGUAGUGGCGGUAGGCGGAAUGUAUGGUGUAGCGGUGAAAUGCUUAGAGAUCAUACAGAACACCGAUUGCGAAGGCAGCUUACCAAGCUACGUCUGACGUUGAGGCACGAAAGCGUGGGGAGCAAACAGGAUUAGAUACCCCAGUAGUC
rnacentral:rRNA from 1 species